UACGAAGGGGGCUAGCGUUGUUCGGAAUUACUGGGCGUAAAGCGCGUGUAGGCGGGUCUUUUAAGUCAGGGGUGAAAUGCCAAGGCUCAACCUUGGAACUGCCUUUGAUACUGGAGAUCUUGAGUCCGGGAGAGGUGAGUGGAACUGCGAGUGUAGAGGUGAAAUUCGUAGAUAUUCGCAAGAACACCAGUGGCGAAGGCGGACUCACUGGCCCGGUACUGACGCUGAGGUGCGAAAGCGAUGGGGAGCGUAACG
rnacentral:rRNA from 1 species